rnacentral:rRNA from 1 species
CCCUGCCCUUUGUACACACCGCCCGUCGCUCCUACCGAUUGAAUGUUCCGGUGAGUGCCUCGGAGAUAUGACCUGCAUUGCUUGUAAUCAGGUCCUAUGUCGAAGUUGUGCAAACCUUAACAUUUAGA